GGCUGUGACACUGAUGAUUGCUGGAUGAAUUCGACCAUCUCUUACCUGUCGGUGGACAAGCAAUUAUUCACCGUGAUUGUGGACGAUAUGUUGCGAAACCCACCAGAUUCAGACAUAGAUUUAAUUUUUGAUGUGGUUCAAAAGAAGGCUCUGUUCCUCAAAUUGAAGGAACAUCUGGUGCCAAAGAUGCUGAACCAGUCUCUAUACUUAAAGCCCGAGACUCUGGGAAACUGCCACAACUAACUUGGGUUGAAGAUCGAAGAGGCUUGGAUGAUAUAUCAGGUCCAGAAUUUAGUGGGCUUGGUCAUAUGGUCAAGCUUCGAAAGCUGACGGGUCACCAUCUACGUCAAACGGGCUGGACACGAAUAUCGUCAUAUAUAGUUCCUGAUGUAGAUGACGAAGCUGCUCCAAAUGAUAUCCCUCGGGAUGAAGCAGAAAAUUCGGCUCAACAUGGGCCCAAUGUGGAAGUGGCAGCUGUUAACUCCCAGGCUGGGAUGUCAAGAAAGAGGCCAGCUAGUACUAUGGAGGCCCAUGAUUCUGAUAGUACAUUUGUACGUAUCACACCCUUCUGCCCACAGGGAAGGGCCUGGUAACUUGGAUCCGAACUAUGAAUAUUGUGUGGUGUUCCGGAAGCUUGAGCGUGAAGGGCACAUCACGAAAGAAUUUAGACGGAAACUGUUCACGUGGUUUAGUCUGAGUUCAACUGAGCGUGAACGUAGAGCGGUUAACACUUUCAUCCGAACACUCGCCCUGAUAGCUUAGGUGAACAAUUGUUUGACGCAUUUGGCGAUAUGGUGUGGUCAUGAACCGAUGUGUGGCUGGACGAAAAUAAUAACAAUAUGCAACUACGGGUGGUUGUGGACCUGACAAUGCGGUUUGUUGACGUCGUUUUUGGACUCCCAUGGAUGGUGUUCUUCAAGAAUCGGAAAUUUUUAGUUUGGCACAGAACGGUGAGAAGCUUGUGAUGAUUGAUUAAGAUGUGAAGAUUAGUUUUAAUGACAGUUCAGAGAGUUGGUUGUGAUGAAUCAUUAAGAUAUGAAGUUUUCCGUAAGAUACACCUUUUAUAAUUUAUGUCUUGUAAUAGAUUCCUAUAAUAGAUUUAUUGUAUAAAUAGUUAUUCAAGGGUUUAACAUGUGCUUCGCGUGUAGAAUGCUUGUAUUUUUUUGACAAGUGAUAAUAAAGAAAGAAGUAAGAGUGAUAAAAA